UACGUAGGGGGCAAGCGUUGUCCGGAUUUAUUGGGCGUAAAGAGCGUGUAGGCGGCCUGGAAGGUCAGCUGUGAAACUCGAGGCUCAACCUCGAGACGUCGGUUGAAACCACCUGGCUAGAGUCCGGAAGAGGAGAGUGGAAUUCCCGGUGUAGCGGUGAAAUGCGCAGAGUAUCGGGAAGAACACCCGUGGCGAAGGCGGCUCUCUGGGACGGUACUGACGCUGAGACGCGAAAGCGUGGGGAGCGAACAGG
rnacentral:rRNA from 1 species